UCUUUCAGUGUGACACCAGCAGGAGCAACAACAAGAUCCUCUCUUUUAGUCAUGGCCUAGAAAACGAUUACAGUUACACAGCCAUAAAGCUGAACGCAAACAAACAGCGCAACAGAGCGCGUUUCGUUCAUACCUUGAAAGAGAAGCAGCAGAAACCUAGAAGCUAGCCAUAAACACUACAGGAAAUCGAUGUCUCGUGAUGUGACGAUGCCGACCAGUUUGCUGCCCAUCUUGCCCGUCUCGGUUAUGGGGAUUCCAGAGAAUCCAUGUCGAACUUUUGCUUCAAGCACAUCACCUACAGUGUGACGAGGACUCAGGACCACUGGAUCAGUGAUGAAACCUUGCUCAAACCUCUGGAGGCACAUACAGAGACCUUGGCGUCAAAUAUUAAUAGCGAGGACCCUAAAUAGACCGUCCUGACUAGAUACUGCUGGAACGCUUGCAUCACUAGAAGAUGAUGUCAUGAAGGGCUGUGUUACUCACUUGUAAGUCAUACCGUCCCCCAUAGAGCAAAGCUCUUCCGCCGUGAGUCCGUCUCGGACAGACUUCUGUUCUGAUCUGUAAUGUGGAUGCCCAUUACAUACGCACAGAGUA